rnacentral:rRNA from 1 species
CCUGGUGGCGAGUGGCGGACGGGUGAGUAAUGCCUAGGAAUCUGCUAGUGUGGGGGAUAACGUUCGGAAACGGACGCUAAUACCGCAUACGUCCUACGGGAGAAANCGGGGGAUCUUCGGACCUCGCGCCAUUUAGAUGAGCCUAGGUCGGAUUAGCUAGUUGGUGAGGUAAUGGCUCACCAAGGCGACGAUCCGUAACUGGUCUGAGAGGACGACCAGCCACACUGGGACUGAGACACGGCCCAGACUCCUACGGGAGGCAGCAGUGGGAAUUUUGGACAAUGGGCGCAAGCCUGAUCCAGCAAUGCCGCGUGCAGGAUGAAGGCCUUCGGGUUGUAAACUGCUUUUGUACGGAACGAAACGGUGAGCUCUAAUACAGUUUGCUAAUGACGGUACCGUAAGAAUAAGCACCGGCUAACUACGUG